UGUGGCUCAGAGUGGUGGGAGAGGGAGCGUAUGGGAAAGACUCUGAGGCCAGAUGUGUGAGGAAUGUUCUGGCUGCUGCAGCACAGAGAGAGAAACCUGGGCAUAUACUCAAAGAGGCUUCCCACAAUGCACCUGGAGAGCUCAACCUGCGUCACAGGCAGAUAGCAAAGCAAAGAAGAAGCAAAAAAAAAAAAAAAAAAGGAAAAAAAAGAAAGAAAACACCCUCCAUCUGCUUCCCAUCAUCUUCAUC